GGAAUCGCGGGGACCAUGGCAAGGCCAGUCAAGGUUAACACGUCCGCCAUGACCGGCUGGUCUCACAAUCACUAGCGUCUCAGCAAGAUCUUCAUCGGCACGACUUCUGGUGAAAUGCCGCUGCUUCACAUUCAAGCUUGAAUUGACUUUUCUCGAGUGCCGCGAUUUGUAAUACUGCCACUGAGGUGCCGGGGACGAAGCUGGAGGCGCCGUGAGAGAGGAGAACCACCAGACUGUAGGCUACGAGGGCAAGAACAGACAACCGUAUUCCUGUCACAAAAUGGCGUGAUGCGCUGAGAGAAAGACCAUACAAAACGCACCGAGAGCCAAGCCAGCGCUAGAUACAGGCAGACCAACUGGGACAAUAUUCUGAAAGACUUCUGCACCGCACCUCCACUGCAUUCCAAAGGCUCUGCUUACUUGACGUUAAACGAGAUUUAUUUAAAACGUGAGAAGUUAAGAAAGUUUUCAAGUGGAAAACGCUCAUCUAGGAAAAGGAGAAUGCGUGACAGGAUAUAACAACCACGCGUUUCAAUUCCAUGCAUCCUGAAGACUGAAGACCAUUCACUUACCAAGCAUCAAACCAACAACCACGUCAAGAAAAAGAGAAAGUGUAUCACAAAGGAAAAGGACAAACUAGCAGACGGAACUCUUAUUACAUCACAUACACAGAAACUUGACAAGAGGAGCGGGAAACAGAAGCGGCAGGAGAACACAGCUGCAGACCCAAAGAGGAGCCUCCACGUAUCCUCUUAUGGCGUCCAUCUCAACUAAGUCAAGGGGUUCGAGUCGCAGCGAUCCGUAUAAUCUCUACUCAGCCUGUGGUCGUAUAGCGGGAGGAGCUGGAGAGUGGUGAGUCAGGCAGCCACAGCCAUGCCUUCCUUCACACGCCACUUGGGAAGGACACAAGGACACUCCCUGUCUCCUUGUAAGUGCCAUAAUCCCGUCUUACAUAAAGAAUAAUCACAGUAAAAAGAAAGCACCUCAACAGCCUCUUUUACAAACAUAGCGGAUAAGUGUUAUGAUACAGAAACUCGUCAGAAAAUGUCUGUAAUCCCUUGUGACGCUGGACCAUCCUGCCUGAGUCUAGACGCUGAGGCAACAAGCUUUGGGCGCCACUUCCACAGCGUCAGGAUUAUCAAGUAAACCUUUCCUCCAUCCACUCACAGUCUGCAGGGAACUUGUGGGUUUCCGAUACCCGUUGAGCUAAGAUUUAAAGAGGAACUUGUACAUAUCGACGUGUACACAGUACACCUCCAUCUGUCCAGCCUGGGGUGCAGCACCACUCAGACCACUACUCCCUACACUACCUUCAGACAUCACCAUACCACCAUACAGCACACAACCCCCGCCCCCACUACCUUCCGAUAAUCCCCCUCUACACCUCCAUGUGUUCAGCCUGAGGUGCAGCGUCACUCAUCCCAAAACCACAUCACAUUACCUUCCGACAGCACCCACCGCCUACACUUCCAUCUGUCCAGCCUGGGGUGCAGCAUCACUCAGCCCACAACCCCCCACACUACCUUCCAACACCCCUCCCUACACCUCCAUCAGUCCAGACUAGGGUGCAGCAUCACUCAAACCACAUAUCCCAAACUACCCUCCGACAGCCCAAUAGAUAGACAGAUGGGUGUGUCCGCCAUACUGUAAACAAGCAGCGCGGAGGAGCUCCGCUAUUUCAAGCUCCUACAGCUACCUGGAACGCUUUACCAACUCCCUCACCUCUCUCACAACUGUAAGUGGUGCAAUAUGAAGUAACCAAGUUUUGGGUUAAGGGUGUUUUCGAACUUGGUCGCUGUAUCCUUGGAAAAGUGACAUGUCUAGGCAGCAACCCUCCCUCGACCAUGGUCCUGGUGUAUGCGCAUGCCCACGCUCUUCAAAGUGACGUCACUGCUGUGUGACGUCAUAGCUACAGUCAACAGUGCAGAAAUGCACACAGAAGAUAAUUACCUAUCGUCUCAUACUACAUCAUGUCGGGCAGGAGUCUUGUUGAGCUGAGGAGGUUGCAGAGGCAUCAGUUCAACAGGGUGACAAAUGAAGAACUUAUUGAUGCAAUAAUGGCAGCAGAUGGCGAUGAUGGAACACUGAUAGCAAGGCAGGACCUAGAGCUCGACAAAAUUAUGGAGGAGUUAGCUGACCUGCGCCGCAUGAUGACAUCAGCGGAUGAGAGAGCCGAAUCCAAGAUCAAGGAGCUGACGAAUAAUGUCGAAAAACAAUAAAAAAUCAUCACUCACCACCAACUCUUCCUGGAGCAGCUCGAUUGGCAGAAGAGGGAGACAAAUAUAGUGUUGUUCGGAGUGCCAGAUGAGCAUGUGGCACUCGAUGGUGCCACUGCUGAGGAUACCAAGAUCCAGGAGAUAUGGAGUGCCAAUGCAGUUGAUCCCGUGGCUGUGGUACGGGCCCACCACAGACUGGGUCAACCUGCGCAGGGUAACAGCAGGCCACGUCUACUUUUCGUCCUCGUCGAUUCGAAGGCCAUCCGGGACAACGAGAAAGCAGCGCGAUUAAAGAAUAUUCAUGAGUCAUAUAAGAAAAUUUAUAUAAAAAAAGAUUUGUAUCCCGGAGUAAGGAAGGAGUGGAAGAGACUGAAAGACGCCGAAGAGGAGGAGGAGAAACCAUCAAAUGCCGGGUGCAGCAUUCGCCUCGAUUAUAAGGACUGAGUGUUGUAUAGGGACGAUGUGGUGAUAGACAGGUGGCGGCCUCACCCUUUUUAAGUAGACGACUGGGAAAUAUAAAGAUUGUUUCUUGGAACAUCAACUCAGUGAAGACUAAAAUUGAAAAACGACAUGUCGAAUAAUUUCUAUCUGUUUAUAUCAUUUGCCUUAAUGAGAUGAAAAUAUGUCUGCCAGUGUUGUUUCUAUGGUACUUGUCAUACACCAACUACAGGUGUAGGACGUCAUGUAUGUAUACAUGUGUUGAUGUUUUAUUAUAGAUAAAUUAAUACAGAUGAAUUGAAAAAAAAAAGCAACAGAUCUUUGGAUACUAAAAGUUUAAAGAUAACAGUAGAUUCACGAACAUAUUUGCAGACAGUCAGUAUUAGAAAUAAAAUAAUGUGCUAACUAUUGUAUUACGCGGGUGUAAUAAGACAACUUUUCAGUAUUUUAAUUUUGCAUGAAAACAAUAAUAAAAAAAAAUUUACUUAUCCUUCUAUCUGCGACAGAAUAAUAGAUAAACAUAUACAUAAAUAUAAUUAUAUGCAAAAUGUUGGAUCAACUUUCAGAUUCAGAGAAAAUCAGCUUACUCCCCCUUUCACGUUCACUUAAAUGCCACUGACCUCACGAGUACCAAGUAGACAACGAGAUGACUGACGUUACUAUCCCUGUCCUUGACGAACCAAUCACGCCCGCAGAGGUGCACGAACAGUCCAGGAAGAUGAAGCCUGA